AUUGAACGCUGGCGGCAUGCUUUACACAUGCAAGUCGAACGGCAGCGCGGGCUUCGGCCUGGCGGCGAGUGGCGAACGGGUGAGUAAUGCAUCGGAACGUGCCCAGUAGCGGGGGAUAGGCCGGCGAAAGCCGGAUUAAUACCGCAUACGACCUGAGGGUGAAAGCGGGGAAGCGAAAGGCCUCGCGCCAUUGGAGCGGCCGAUGUCGGAUUAGCUAGUUGGUGGGGUAAAGGCUUACCAAGGCGACGAUCCGUAGCUGGUCUGAGAGGACGACCAGCCACACUGGGACUGAGACACGGCCCAGACUCCUACGGGAGGCAGCAGUGGGGAAUUUUGGACAAUGGGCGCAACCCUGAUCCAGCCAUGCCGCGUGCGGGAAGAAGGCCUUCGGGUUGUAAACCGCUUUUGUUCGGGAAGAAAUCCUCUGGGCUAAUACCCCGGGGGGAUGACGGUACCGGAAGAAUAAGCACCGGCUAACUACGUG
rnacentral:rRNA from 1 species